rnacentral:rRNA from 1 species
UACGUAGGGACCAAGCGUUGUUCGGAUUUACUGGGCGUAAAGGGCGCGUAGGCGGCAAUUCAAGUCAUCUGUGAAAUCUCUGGGCUUAACCCAGAACGGCCAGGUGAUACUGCUUUGCUAGAGUGCGGAAGGGGCAAUCGGAAUUCUUGGUGUAGCGGUGAAAUGCGUAGAUAUCAAGAGGAACACCUGAGGUGAAGACGGGUUGCUGGGCCGACACUGACACUGAUGAGCGAAAGCCAGGGGAGCGAACGGG